GUCGUCUGCCAUAAGGGUCCUGGUGGCUCUGCCAGAGCCUCUUGUGACCUGCACUGGCUGUGGGGGUCAUAGGAAGGACUCAGGGGACGCAGGAGCCCUAGGAAUAGAUCCCUAUCAAUACUUGGUCCUCCAUGGCGCAUUUCAACCAGACCCAAUAUGUUAACCGUUUAUCAUUAUCCCCCAGAGCCAUGGAUGGCUCUAUUUUUUUUUGGAGGUAGUGCCUCCUAAGCAGCCACCCAAAGGAGUGAAAACUGGAGGUUAAGAAAGGAAAAGGAAUGAAGGGCAAUUAGAAGCAGCACAGGUUUCAGAACUAUGUGAGGGACUGGCCGGUUAUUCUUCACCAAGGGGUGACCCUGCACCCCUCGGUGUUAAUCGGCUGGACCCUGUCAAACAGCCGAUCAAAUGAUGUAGCCACGGCUCCUGGCAAGCUAUUGUCUGCUAGUUUUCUAUUGUCAAUCCUGUUGGGGUUUCAUUGAUUUUCUUUAUGGGUUUUCUAUUCUCUGUUUGCUUAAUUUCUGUUCUAUGUUUUAUUUCCUUUUCUCAAUAC
rnacentral:lncRNA from 1 species